rnacentral:sRNA from 1 species
CCUGAAAUGGGUUCGUUGGGGCCGACCACGCAGU